rnacentral:sRNA from 1 species
UCCUAACUAUAUCAGGGUUGAGACCCCAGC